rnacentral:rRNA from 1 species
UACGUAGGUGGCGAGCGUUGUCCGGAUUUACUGGGCGUAAAGAGCGCGCAGGCGGCUGGUCAAGUCCGAUGUGAAAGCUCCCGGCUUAACCGGGAAAUUGCAUCGGAAACUGAUCGGCUGGAAGGUGGGAGAGGGUAGCGGAAUUCCCGGUGUAGUGGUGAAAUGCGUAGAUAUCGGGAGGAACACCUGUGGCGAAGGCGGCAUCCUGGACCGACACUGACGCUGAGGAGCGAAAGCCAGGGGAGCAAACGGG